GCGUGAUCCUGCAAGGGCGCACGGUGGAUGUCUUGGCGUCAAGAGGCGAUGAAGGACGUAGGAACCUGCGAUAAGCCUAGGGGAGCUGGUAACCGAGCGAUUGAUCCUAGGAUUUCCGAAUGGGGUAACCCGGCCCGCAAGGGUCACUCAACGCUGAAUGCAUAGGCGUUGUAGAGCGAACGUGGUGAACUGAAACAUCUCAGUAAUCACAGGAAAGGAAAGCAAAAGCGACUCCGUCAGUAGCGGCGAGCGAACGCGGAAAAAGCGGCAGAACUGCGAACCGGAUGGAAUACCGGGCCAAAGAAGGUGAAAGCCCUGUAACUGGAAGCCGCCCAUGCCCUCGAUUAGGUUCGGGCUCGUGGAACCCGGACUGAACAUGGGGGGUCCACCCUCCAAGGCUGAGCACUCCUUGACGACCGAUAGCGAACCAGUAAGGCGACUGAACGAUGAAAAGCACCCCGGCGAGGGGAAUGAAAGAGCACCUGAAACCGUGCGCUUACAAGCGGUCGGAGUCCCGCAAGGGAUGACGGCGUGCCUUUUGCAUAAUGAGCCGGCGAGUUGGUCUGUACGGCGAGUCUAAGCGUUACCGACGCGGAGACGGAGCGAAAGCGAGUCUUAAAAGGGCGUCAAGUCGUACGGGCUAGACACGAAACCUAAGUGAUCUACCGUUGGCCAGACUGAAGGACGGGUAACUCCGUCUGGAGGGUCGAACGCGUGACCGUUGAAAAGGUCUGCGAUGAGCUGACGGGGGGACUAAAAGUGUUAUCAAACUGGGAGAUAGCUUGUUCUCCCCGAAAUACCUUUAGGGGUAGCCUCAGGGAACAACCCGCGGAGGUAGAGCGACUGGAUCGACAACGGGGCCCACAAGGUCGCCGUGUCGAACCAAACUCCGAAUGCCGCGGGCAUUGCCCUGGGAGAAAGACUUCGAGUGACAAUAUCCGAAGUCAAAAGGAGAAAAAUCCUGAUCGCCAGCUAAGGUCCCAAACUCAUGCUCAGUUCGAAAGGAAGUCAGGGUGCGACGACAUCCAGGAUGUUGGCUUAGAAGCAGCCAUCAUUUAAAGAGUGCGUAACAGCUCACUGGACGAGGAUCCUGGCGCCGAUAAUGAUCGGGAAUAAGCAUGAGGCCGAAGCUGCGGACUCUGAUUUAUCAGAGUGGUAGGGGAGCGUUGCUGGGGCGGUGAAGCAGAUCGGGAACGAUCUGUGGAGCGUCAGCAAGUGAAUAUGCCGGCUUGAGUAACGAUAAAGCAGGUGAAAAUCCUGCUCGCCAUAAGCCCAAGGUUUCCUGGGGAAGGGAAAUCCGCCCAGGGUUAGCCGAGACCUAAGACGAGGCCGACAGGCGUAGUCGAUGGACAACCGGUCAAUAUUCCGGUGCUCCUGCGGAGAUCAAACCGUCGUUCGAACUUCCGGGUGGACAGGGGACUGUCAGAUGUCCAGGCCCUUGUGGCCGAUCUGUCCGAAGGGAGUUUCUAGAAAAGCGGCGGGGGCAAAGCAGGACUCGUACCAAAACCGACACAGGUGGGCGAGGCG
rnacentral:rRNA from 1 species